rnacentral:rRNA from 1 species
CUGCAUGAAGCUGGAAUCGCUAGUAAUCGCGGAUCAGAAUGCCGCGGUGAAUACGUUCCCGGGUCUUGUACACACCGCCCGUCACACCAUGGGAGUCGGGAAUGCCCGAAGUCAGUGACCCAACCGAAAGGGGGAGCUGCCGAAGGCAGGCCUGGUAACUGGGGUGAAGUCGUAACAAGGUACC